rnacentral:tmRNA from 1 species
GGGGGCGUACUGGCUUCGACGUGGGUGCUGAAACAUAAGGAGCAUACCGGGGCGCCUGAGGACCUCGUAAAAACGGGCAAUUUGUAAUUGGCAACGAUUACGCACUUGCAGCUUAAUUGACUGCACGAUCAACUUUGAGGUGGUUGCGCUCUUAGAUUGAUUGUCAUUUAGUGACCUCGGUGAACUGGGUUUUCUCCAGCAAGUUCGCUUAAAUCUACUGGGGGAAUGUUUGAUGGGAACUUUGUCGAUAGAGGUCCCAUCAUCAUAUUAAAAUAUCGACUAAGUAUGUAGCGCCUUAUCGCGGAUCACUUGCGGACGGGGGUUCAAUUCCCCCCGCCUCCACCA